AACGAACGCUGGCGGCAUGCCUAACACAUGCAAGUCGAACGAUUGCCUUCGGGUGAUAGUGGCGCACGGGUGCGUAACGCGUGGGAAUCUGCCCUUAGGUUCGGAAUAACAGCUGGAAAUGGCUGCUAAUACCGGAUGAUAUCGCGAGAUCAAAGAUUUAUCGCCUGAGGAUGAGCCCGCGUUGGUUUGGGUAGUUGGUGGGGUAAAGGCCUACCCAGCCGACGAUCCAUAGCUGGUCUGAGAGGAUGAUCAGCCACACUGAGACUGAGACACGGCCCAGACUCGUACGGGGGGCAGAAGUGGGGAAUAUUGGACAAAGGGCGCAAGCCUGAUCCAGCAAGGCCGUGUGAGUGAUGAAGGCCCUAGGGUUGUAAAGCUCUUUUACCCGCGAAGAUAAUGACAGUACCGAGAGAAUAAGCCCCUGCUAACUCC
rnacentral:rRNA from 1 species